rnacentral:rRNA from 1 species
UACGUAGGUGACAAGCGUUGUCCGGAUUUACUGGGCGUAAAGAGCGCGCAGGCGGUCGUUCAAGUCGAGUGUGAAAGCCCCCGGCUCAACUGGGGAGGGUCAUUCGAUACUGAUCGACUCGAAGGCAGGAGAGGGAAGUGGAAUUCCCGGUGUAGUGGUGAAAUGCGUAGAUAUCGGGAGGAACACCAGUGGCGAAAGCGACUUCCUGGCCUGUUCUUGACGCUGAGGCGCGAAAGCUAGGGGAGCAAACGGG